GCCAGGCUCUCCUGCAGGUCCAGUGAGUCCAGGUGGUCCAACAGGUCCAGGGGGUCCACGGUCACCGGCGCCUCCAGGACCUCCCUGCUUUCCGGGCUCACCCUGAGAGCAGAGAAGACGACUCAUUAUCAGACCUCGAAUCCAUUAUUUAUAGGACAUUGUGAAUCACCCAAAGGUCCAGGCAGACCGGGGAAACCUCUUUCACCACGCUGUCCAGGGAGACCAACAAUACCACGUGCACCAGCCAAUCCUUGAGGACCUGAAGGACCUAGGGGACCCUGAGAGGGAAAAAAUACCAAAACACAAUAAAUGUCUGAUCUGCGACGUGUUCACAAACACCUGAGGCACAUGUGUUCAAGAUGUCAUCUAUGUAAUCUACGGGCAGGAGGAGCUCCCGACACAGCAGCUAUCAUCUGUGAUCCAGCAUGAGCUCCAGCAGGACCACGGAGCCCAGCGUCACCCUGCCUGCCUGGGGGUCCACCGUCUCCCCUCACACCUUUGGGUCCGUCUUUACCAGAGGGACCGGCAGGACCAGAAGGUCCAGGAUUACCCUAAGAAAUGCAAAAAAGAUCAAACAACAUACACAAAUGAAAUUGCAGGUCCUGGGGCACCAGAGGGUCCUUGGGGUCCAGGAGCACCAGCGUCUCCCUUCUGUCCAGAUUCUCCCUGCUCUCCCUUGGUUCCAGGCUGACCAUCAGCGCCCUGAAAGAAAGAGACAGAAGCAGUCUUUCUUUUACAGAAAACUUGACUGGGAUUGCAGCAGCAGCCGAAACUCGUCUGUGUGGUGUUAAAAUGUGACGUUACAGGCGGGGGUCCAGCAAAACCAGCAGGUCCAGGAGGUCCAGUCUCUCCCCUGUCACCCUGAAAGACAAAGCAACAGAGGGAACAAACAGUCAGAGCUUGUGAGCACCGCGGGUACCAGGAGCGCCAGAAGGACCGGCGGGACCAGAUUCACCCUACAAGAAAACACAGCAGCAGGAAUGCCAGCAGCUCCUCUCUCUCCAGGCAUACCCUGCAGACCGGGGGGUCCCUGAGCUCCACCACCACCAGCAGGUCCAAUGGCUCCCUAUUAUGGAUCAGAAAUAAGAAAGAGCACCGUGACUUACAGUUGCUCCCUUGGGUCCAGGGAAUCCCAUCACACCAGGCUGUCCACGAGCCCCCUGAGGCCCAGGAGGUCCAGGACGACCAUCUUCACCAGCAGCUCCCUAAUAAAGCAAAGCAAAUUCAACUGAAUUUUUACAGAGCGCAAUUACAAGCAACAAAUGAUGAUAAAAUGGUUUACAGAGCAAUUCAAAAUCCAAUUAGAUAAACUGGGCAACAUACAGAAAAGUAAUGAUGUUAUGAUAGAAAUGUGAAGAAAGGAUUUUUGACUGUGGGAUGGAGAAGAGUAACAGUCUGUGGUCAGAUGUGGGUCUGGAGGUUUGCAAUGGAAGCGAGCAAAAAAAAAAGAAAAGCACAGCAUCGCCCAAGGUUACACAACUGCAACUCAUUUUGUUAAAGUGUUCAUUUGUUUUCCGCUGUUCCUAAAUAAAUAAAUGCCAAAAUAAAUAAACCCCCGAGGGCUCAACCAGGUGAGCCACGGAAAGAAAAAGACAAAAUAAUCCCUCCGCCAUAAUCAGUCUGUCCAUAUGGCGGUCCCUCAGUCAGCCAGUCACAAAAUAACACCACUGCUUAAUCUGUGAGGAAGCCCUAAUUUUUUAAUCACAGUCCCUGAACAGCAAAUUUGCCUCAUAUUUUUAAAGAAUGAACAUGUUUGUGUAGCCAAAAUGAAAAAUGUUGAAUAUGAAGUUUACAAAAAAAACCAUGAUGGGCUGUGUAAACAAACAGCAAUACAACUUUUAAAUUUUGUGUUAUUUACAUAAAUGGUCAGUUUGGUGAUCACCUUCAAGACGAGUACAGUCCAUUAGGUGAAAGGUUUUUGACAUAAAUACUGUUCUAUAGGGCUUUAAACUAACUUUAACAAAUGGACUGUGCCAAAGCCAAGUGUAUACAAUUGAGGAUUAACUGUGAUCAAGAAAAACAGAAGCCUGUCUCGCAAAUGGAGCCUCACGUGAAGUUUGGAAAAGCGCUCUGAAUCAAAGCUACAGUAUGAGGCCGCUGGAUAAUGGGUAGAUAAAUCUCCUGCAAUUCAAUUUGAUGAAACCACUUAUGAGUCAUUACGUGAUGAGAGAAUAUUUGGCAAAAUUACAAAUCUCUCUCUGGUAUGUGAUAUGAAAAAAAACAACAAAAAACCGACAACACAAAGGCCCUAAUGCUACACGGUUGUACACACUGUGAGGUUGUUUCUAUUGAUUUACAAAGACAGAACUGCUAUUUUUUAUUUAUUUUUAGUGCACUUACAGAAGGUCCGACUUUUCCUUGAGGUCCAGCAUCUCCGGGGCGUCCAGUCAAACCCUGUCAGAGGAGGAGAAUGGAAAAAAAAACAGAGCAAAAGUGGGUGAGUCAUCAGACGUUUCUAUGCAGACGUGUGCUCAUGAAAGGUGGGAACAGGGAACAUAUGGCAACAUGGAAAACUGAAUUUACACCUCAGAUUGGCCCUGUGUGCAGGAAGCAGCAGUUCGACACCUACUGAUGGAAAUGACUAAGAACUGCAACAUGAGUGAGAGAGCUUUGAAUAUUACAGAUGGUAAUGGGGUCCAUUCACUACAGGUGCUCUAUCGUACUUCCUGUGCACUGACUGUCGACAAACAACAACAAUGACGUGCAUAGCUAUUGUCUUCUGUGACCCUGGAUGAGCUUUUGAGGUCUAAAUGUAACCUCAGCUUCUAUUUAGACAUUUCUACAUUUAACAAUUUAACAACUUCAUCAAUUUUGUCUGUUAACAGAUCCUGGGAGCACUACUUCAUAUGUGACUGAAAGUUGUAUAAAGCAUUUUGCAGCAGAUAGAAGUCUGAUAAACUGCCUCUGGGGAUUACACUUGAUUCAACAUCUGCUGGGUCUCAAGACUGUGAGACUGAAAAUGGAAAAAAAAAUGGAAGUGUGGAUUUACAGAGAAACUAGCUUACCAGACCACUGUAACCCACUCCUCAGGUCUACUGAAGGUUACAGUUUGAGGUUAUGUUUGUUGAUACUCGUUUUUAACACCUGAAUCUCCAACCAAACUGCUGGGGGUUGAGCUGCAUUGUGGGUAAGUGGCAAGAAGAAGACGUGUAUAUAUAGUGAAAAAAAGACAAUAUCUUUGCUUUGCUGAAUCGAUUUUAAUCCUUUUUUUGCAGUAAGAGUCUCACAGUGUUACAUAAGGUGAUGCUAAAUCAGUGGAGUUAUCUUCUGAAGUUACUGAAAAGAUCAGUCAGUUGCCUUGUGAGAAAUGUAGGUGCUGUGGCAUGCACAGAUGAACACCAGGUGGUGCUAGAGCACCUGCCCUUUGCCCCCAGUAUCAAGCAGGUGCCCUCCUGUCUCAACUUUUUUCUAAAAUUUUUUUUAAACUAUAAACACACACACAGAUGCACACAAACAACCCGUGCCGCUACCCGUCCCGCCCUAUCUCCUAAAGUGAACACGCGGAGCGGACACGUGUGUGGCAGCAGCUGCACAGCCCACAGGCAUCUCCACCCUGACUGUAGCCACCAACCAGGUAACACCUAAAUGAAUCAAGUGUAUUAUUCAUAAGCUUUGGUUGCCAAGCCACACGGUGCAUUUAUUUGUCUCUGUUGUGAAGUAGCCUGUCUCAUGCAGCACUAAAAAAAACUCGUGCCUAAAUUAGCCAACUGCCGUGUUAUAAAGCCUUCAUAUUUCGAUUGGAAUAUUGUCUGGGUUGUGUUAUUAUGUGCAUUUCGUCCUUUGCUGAGUUAAUCGAAUGUUGAUGUUUUUUUCCUUAAUGUCCCUGAACGCACCUCGAGUGACGUGUUUUCCUCCUUAGCUGCAAUUUGUUGACUAGUUUCUCCAGUGCACAUGUUUGGACUGAAUACAUGUUGCAUUUUUCAUUUACUUGCUGUGUGUAAAUGACCAAAGGUGAGUGGUCUUGUGUUCCCCCAGUGUAGAGAGUUCACUGUUCAUUGUUAACUGUUGACUGUUAUUGAUACUUGACGGACAUUAGCUUAGCUAUUAGCCUAUUAUGGGUUGUCAGUGCCUGUCUGGUUGCGUUGCUAAUAUUAUGUGAGUUAAUGUGUUUGAAAUGCUAAGCCAUACACAGUAUUUUGCUGUUUAUGUUAUUGUGUUUUAUUUUGCUAUUUAUGCUAUUGUGUUUAGGUGCAUUUUAUGUUAUUUCUCAGUAUAAUUAUUAUUUUUGUGGCUGUACUUAUGGCAAAUGUGUCACUGAUUUAUUAUUCCUGUUUGUAAUAUUUCAGAACCAUAGCUGUCUGCCACAGCUGUCUAUAGUACAACAGCCUUUUGAGUUAUCCAACAAUAAAUACCAGUAACCUGGAAA